UGCCCUCCAAAAUUCAUGUCUACCUGGAACCUCAGAAUCUGACCUUAUUAAUAAAUAGGGUCUUUGCAUGUGUAAUUAUAAGAUCAAGUCAUA